rnacentral:lncRNA from 1 species
ACCGACCUUAUUUUUCAGACCACCUUUAGGUUCCCAGCUAAAUGGAGGGGAUGGUAGAGAGGGCUGCCGUGUACCCUCUCCCACACCCGCAGAGCCCCCACUCUGCAAUCCAUGAAGCUCAGGUUCGCGCUCAGACGUUCUAUAAUUGUAGCAUUUGGAAUUGUUUAAAAGUUUGA